UUUUAUGAGAGUUUGAUCCUGGCUCAGGACGAACGCUGGCGGCGUGCCUAAUACAUGCAAGUCGAACGCUUCUUUUUCCACCGGAGCUUGCUCCACCGGAAAAAGAGGAGUGGCGAACGGGUGAGUAACACGUGGGUAACCUGCCCAUCAGAAGGGGAUAACACUUGGAAACAGGUGCUAAUACCGUAUAACAAUUGAAACCGCAUGGUUUUGAUUUGAAAGGCGCUUUCGGGUGUCGCUGAUGGAUGGACCCGCGGUGCAUUAGCUAGUUGG
rnacentral:rRNA from 1 species